rnacentral:rRNA from 1 species
AUUGAACGCUGGCGGCAGGCCUAACACAUGCAAGUCGAGCGAGCGGCGGACGGGUGAGUAAUGUAUGGGGACUGCCCGAUAGAGGGGGAUAACUACUGGAAACGGUGGCUAAUACCGCAUACUAUCGGAUAACCCAUAUGGGAUUAGCUAGUAGGUGGGGUAAAGGCUCACCUAGGCGACGAUCUCUAGCUGGUCUGAGAUGAUGAGCAGCCACAUGGGAACUGAGACACGGCCAAGACUCCUACGGAGGAAGCAUAGGGGAAUAUUGCACAAUGGGCGAAAGCCUGACGCAGCCAGGCGGCGGGUAUGAAGAAGGCCUUAGGGUUGUAAAGUACGUUCAGCGAGGAGGCGUUACCCGCAGAAGAAGCACCGGCUAACUCCGUGCCAGCAGCCGCGGUAAUAC